CCUACGGGUGGCAGCAGUAGGGAAUAUUGCUCAAUGGGGGAAACCCUGAAGCAGCAACGCCGCGUGGAGGAUGAAGGUUUUCGGAUUGUAAACUCCUUUUGUUAGAGAAGAUAAUGACGGUAUCUAACGAAUAAGCACCGGCUAACUCCGUGCCAGCAGCCGCGGUAAUACGGAGGGUGCAAGCGUUACUCGGAAUCACUGGGAGUAAAGGGCGCGUAGGCGGGAUAGCAAGGAAGAUGUGAAAUCCUAUGGCUUAACCAUAGAAUUGCAUUUGAAACUGUUAUUCUAGAGUAUGGGAGAGGUAGGUGGAAUUCUUGGUGUAGGGGUAAAAUCCGUAGAGAUCAAGAGGAAUACUCAUUGCGAAGGCGACCUGCUAGAACAUAACUGACGCUGAUGCGCGAAAGCGUGGGGAGCAAACAGGAUUAGAUACCCGAGUAGUC
rnacentral:rRNA from 1 species